CGUAGGCGGGUGCUCAAGUCCGGGGUGAAAUCCUCCAGCUCAACUGGAGAACUGCCUCGGAUACUGGGUGCCUCGAGGGUGGUAGGGGUAUGCGGAACUAUCGGUGGAGCGGUGAAAUGCGUUGAUAUCGAUAGGAACUCCGGUGGCGAAGGCGGCAUACUGGACCACAUCUGACGCUGAGGCGCGAAAGCCAGGGAGCAAACG
rnacentral:rRNA from 1 species